UGGGGAAUAUUGGGCAAUGGGCGCAAGCCUGACCCAGCAACGCCGCGUGAAGGAAGAAGGCCCUCGGGUUGUAAACUUCUUUUAUCAGGGACGAAGAAAGUGACGGUACCUGAUGAAUAAGCCACGGCUAACUACGUGCCAGCAGCCGCGGUAAUACGUAGGUGGCAAGCGUUAUCCGGAUUUACUGGGUGUAAAGGGCGUGUAGGCGGGAGAGCAAGUCAGACGUGAAAUUCCAGGGCUCAACCCUGGAACUGCGUUUGAAACUGUUCUUCUUGAGUGAUGGAGAGGCAGGCGGAAUUCCGU
rnacentral:rRNA from 1 species